AGUGAACGCUGGCGGUAGGCCUAACACAUGCAAGUCGAACGGUAGCACAGUAAGAGCUUGCUCUUACGGGUGGCGAGUGGCGGACGGGUGAGGAAUACAUCGGAAUCUACUUUUUCGUGGGGGAUAACGUAGGGAAACUUACGCUAAUACCGCAUACGACCUACGGGUGAAAGCAGGGGAUCUUCGGACCUUGCGCGAUUGAAUGAGCCGAUGUCGGAUUAGCUAGUUGGCGGGGUAAAGGCCCACCAAGGCGACGAUCCGUAGCUGGUCUGAGAGGAUGAUCAGCCACACUGGAACUUAGACACGGUCCAGACUCCUACGGGAGGCAGCAGUGGGGAAUAUUGGACAAUGGGCGCAAGCCUGAUCCAGCCAUACCGCGUGGGUGAAGAAGGCCUUCGGGUUGUAAAGCCCUUUUGUUGGGAAAGAAAAGCAGCAGGUUAAUACCCCGCUGUUCUGACGGUACCCAAAGAAUAAGCACCGGCUAACUUCGUG
rnacentral:rRNA from 1 species